CCCCCUUUUUUUAAGCAUAAAAAUUCAUAACACGGAAAUGUAAAAUCUGAAAUUUAUAAAAAUUGAAAGGGAGCUUACAUCAAUAGAUAAAAACAAUUCACCGAAGUUUCAUGGACAUUGGUGAAAGCCUUUUUGAGUUAUUGUCCGAAGUGUUGAAAAUCCCCCUUUUUUUAUGAAUAAAGCCCCAUAAAUCCAAAACUUAAAAUCUGAAAUUUAUAAAAAUUGAAAGGGAGCUUACAUCAAUAGAUAUAAACAAUUCACCAAAGUUUCAUGGACAUUGGUGAAAGCCUUUUUGAGUUAUUGUCUGAAGUGUUGAAAAUCCCCCCUUUUUUAUGAAUAAAGCCCCAUAAAUCCAAAACUUAAAAUCUGAAAUUAAAAAAAAACGAAAGGGAGCUUACGUCAAUAGAUAUAAACAAUUCACUUAAGUUUCAUGGAAAUUGGUGAAAGUGUUUUUGAGUUAUUGUCCAAAGUGUGGACGACGGAUGGACAGACGGACAACGGUAUACCAUAAUAUGUCCCGUCUAAAAGACG
rnacentral:lncRNA from 1 species